rnacentral:rRNA from 1 species
GACGAACGCUGGCGGCGUGCUUAACACAUGCAAGUCGAACGCUGAAGACCUGGCUUUUGUUGGGUUGGAUGAGUGGCGAACGGGUGAGUAACACGUGAGUAACCUGCCCUCUUCUUUGGGAUAACGCCCGGAAACGGGUGCUAAUACUGGAUAUUCACUGAUCUUCGCAUGGGGGUUGGUGGAAAGGUUUGUUCUGGUGGGGGAUGGGCUCGCGGCCUAUCAGCUUGUUGGUGGGGUGAUGGCCUACCAAGGCUUUGACGGGUAGCCGGCCUGAGAGGGUGACCGGUCACUUUGGGACUGAGAUACGGCCCAGACUCCUACGGGAGGCAGCAGUGGGGAAUAUUGCACAAUGGGCGAAAGCCUGAUGCAGCGACGCCGCGUGAGGGAUGGAGGCCUUCGGGUUGUAAACCUCUUUCGCUCAUGGUCAAGCCGCAACUGUGGGUUGUGGUGAGGGUAGUGGGUAAAGAAGCGCCGGCUAACUACGUG